rnacentral:rRNA from 1 species
ACUCCUACGGGAGGCAGCAGUGGGAAUAUUGGACAAUGGGGGAAACCCUGAUCCAGCCAUGCCGCGUGUGUGAAGAAGGCCUUCGGGUUGUAAAGCACUUUCAGUGGGGAGGAAAGGUUGUUGGUUAAUACCUAACAGCUGUGACGUUACCCACAGAAGAAGCACCGGCUAACUCCGUGCCAGCAGCCGCGGUAAUACGGAGGGUGCAAGCGUUGUCCGGAUUUAUUGGGUUUAAAGGUGCGUAGGCGGCCCUAUAAGUCAGUGGUGAAAUCCUUCAGCUCAACUGGAGAACUGCCAUUGAUACUGUAGGGCUUGAGUACAGACGAGGUAGGCGGAAUUUAUGGUGUAGCGGUGAAAUGCAUAGAUACCAUAAAGAACACCUAUUGCGAAGGCAGCUUACUAGACUGUAACUGACGCUGAGGCACGAAAGCGUGGGGAGCGAACAGGAUUAGAUACCCUGGUAGGCUCUG